rnacentral:rRNA from 1 species
UGCAUGAAGUCGGAAUUGCUAGUAAUCGCGGAUCGGCAUGCCGCGGUGAAUACGUUCCCGGGCCUUGUACACACCGCCCGUCACACCAUGGGAGCCGGUAAUACCCGAAGUCAGUAGUCCAACCUCGUGAGGACGCUGCCGAAGGUAGGAUUGGCGACUGGGGUGAAGUCGUAACAAGGUACC